rnacentral:rRNA from 1 species
GCUAAGGCCGGGGCGGCAGAGUGGGAAAGAGGGAGGGUGCAAGAGAUAAGCGUAAUUACUGGGAGUAAAGCGCACGGAGGCGGUUGGAGAAGGAAGAUGUGAAAGCCCCGGGCUCAACCUGGGAAUUGCAGUUAAAACUGGCCAGCUAGAGUCUUGUAGAGGGGGGUAGAAUUCCAGGUGUAGAGGUGAAAUGCGGAGAGAUCUGGAGGAAUACCGGUGGCGAAGGCGGCCCCCUGGACAAAGACUGACGCUCAGGUGCGAAAGCGUGGGGAGCAAACAGGAUUAGAUACCCUAGUAGUC